rnacentral:rRNA from 1 species
ACCAGACUCCUACGGGAGGCAGCAGUGGGGGAUAUUGCACAAUGGGGGGAACCCUGAUGCAGCGACGCCGCGUGGGUGAAGAAGCGCCUCGGCGCGUAAAGCCCUGUCAGCAGGGAAGAAAAUGACGGUACCUGAAGAAGAAGCCCCGGCUAACUACGUGCCAGCAGCCACGGUAAUACGUAGGGGGCAAGCGUUAUCCGGAUUUACUGGGUGUAAAGGGGGCGCAGACGGCGAUGCAAGCCAGGAGUGAAAGCCCGGGGCCCAACCCCGGGACUGCUCUUGGAACUGCGUGGCUGGAGUGCAGGAGGGGCAGGCGGAAUUCCUGGUGUAGCGGUGAAAUGCGUAGAUAUCAGGAGGAACACCGGUGGCGAAGGCGGCCUGCUGGACUGCAACUGACGUUGAGGCCCGAAAGCGUGGGGAGCAAACAGGAUUAGAUACCCCCGUA